GGGGUGCAGCAGGCGCGAAAACUUUGCAAUACACGAAAGUGUGACAGGGUCAUCCCGAGUGCCGACCGCUGAGGUUGGCUUUUACCCAGUCUAGAAAGCUGGGGGAAUAAGGAGAGGGCAAGUCUGGUGUCAGCCGCCGCGGUAAUACCAGCUCUCCGAGUGGUGUGGACGUUUAUUGGGCCUAAAGCAUCCGUAGCUGGCUGAACAAGUCCCCUGUUAAACCCACCGAUUUAAUCGUUGGUCUGCGGGGGAUACUGCUCGGCUAGGGGACGAGAGAGGCAGACGGUAUUCCCGGGGUAGGGGUGAAAUCCUAUAAUCCCGAGAAGACCACCAGUGGCGAAGGCUGUCUGCUAGAACGCGCCCGACGGUGAGGGAUGAAAGCUGGGGGAGCGAACCGGAUUAGAUACCCGGGUAGUCCCAGCUGUAAACGAUGCAGACUAGGUGUUUGGACGGCCACGUGCCGUUCUAGUGCCGCAGGGAAGCUGUUAAGUCUGCCGCCUGGGGAGUACGAUCGCAAGAUUGAAACUUAAAGGAAUUGGCGGGGGAGCAC
rnacentral:rRNA from 1 species